CUUAGCUGUGACGUUACUUACAGAAGAAGCACCGGCUAACUCCGUGCCAGCAGCCGCGGUAAUACGGAGGGUGCGAGCGUUAAUCGGAAUUACUGGGCGUAAAGCGUACGCAGGCGGUUUGUUAAGCGAGAUGUGAAAGCCCCGGGCUCAACCUGGGAACUGCAUUUCGAACUGGCAAACUAGAGUGUGAUAGAGGGUGGUAGAAUUUCAGGUGUAGCGGUGAAAUGCGUAGAGAUCUGAAGGAAUACCGAUGGCGAAGGCAGCCACCUGGGUCAACACUGACGCUCAUGUACGAAAGCGUGGGGAGCAAACAGGAUUAGAUACCCUGGUAGUCCACGCCGUAAACGAUGUCUACUAGAAGCUCGGUUCCUCGGAACUGUUUUUCAAAGCUAACGCAUUAAGUAGACCGCCUGGGGAGUACGGCCGCAAGGUUAAAACUCAAAUGAAUUGACGGGGGCCCGCACAAGCGGUGGAGCAUGUGGUUUAAUUCGAUGCAACGCGAAGAACCUUACCUACACUUGACAUACAGAGAACUUAC
rnacentral:rRNA from 1 species